AUACAUACGGAGGUAUGUUCGGAGGGCCGCCAACCGGAAAGAGGGAGUUAAUCUCAGAAAGUGUAUCGUAAUCCGGAUUGUAGAAUGCAAAUAGAAACAUGAAGUUGCCAUCGCUUGAAAUCACGGAUCAGCAUGUUGCUCUGAAUACACACAAGAGGCUCGAGAACAACAUCGGUCACACCAUGGUAUCGGGUUUUAUCCCAAGUAGGUGGCACAUCCGGACACGAGGGUGCUUACCACCGGAUGUCCCCCCUUGUGGCGUGCUCGCGUGACAUGCAUGCCUGAUUCACGCCGCCAACGUUCGUUCUGAGCCAUGAUCAAAGUUUAAUGGGAUCCCGACCGCAGAGGCGUGCAUGCAAGCUUCCCUAUAGUGAGUCGAUAGUGAUC
rnacentral:rRNA from 1 species